UUAAGCGACUAAGCGUACACGGUGGAUGCCCUGGCAGUCAGAGGCGAUGAAGGACGUGCUAAUCUGCGAAAAGCGUCGGUAAGGUGAUAUGAACCGUUACAGCCGGCGAUGUCCGAAUGGGGAAACCCAGUGCAAUUCGUUGCACUAUCGUUAACUGAAUACAUAGGUUAACGAGGCGAACCGGGGGAACUGAAACAUCUAAGUACCCCGAGGAAAAGAAAUCAACCGAGAUUCCCCCAGUAGCGGCGAGCGAACGGGGAGCAGCCCAGAGUCUGAAUCAGCUUGUGUGUUAGUGGAACGGUCUGGAAAGUCCGACGGUACAGGGUGAUAGUCCCGUACACCAAAAUGCACAGGUUGUGAACUCGAAGAGUAGGGCGGGACACGUGGUAUCCUGUCUGAAUAUGGGGGGACCAUCCUCCAAGGCUAAAUACUCCUGACUGACCGAUAGUGAACCAGUACCGUGAGGGAAAGGCGAAAAGAACCCCGGCGAGGGGAGUGAAAAAGAACCUGAAACCGUGUACGUACAAGCAGUGGGAGCACCUUCGGGUGUGACUGCGUACCUUUUGUAUAAUGGGUCAGCGACUUAUAUUCUGUAGCAAGGUUAACCGUAUAGGGGAGCCGCAGGGAAACCGAGUCUUAACUGGGCGUUAAGUUGCAGGGUAUAGACCCGAAACCCGGUGAUCUAGCCAUGGGCAGGUUGAAGGUUGGGUAACACUAACUGGAGGACCGAACCGACUAAUGUUGAAAAAUUAGCGGAUGACUUGUGGCUGGGGGUGAAAGGCCAAUCAAACCGGGAGAUAGCUGGUUCUCCCCGAAAGCUAUUUAGGUAGCGCCUCGUGAACUCAUCUUCGGGGGUAGAGCACUGUUUCGGCUAGGGGGUCAUCCCGACUUACCAACCCGAUGCAAACUACGAAUACCGAAGAAUGUUAUCACGGGAGACACACGGCGGGUGCUAACGUCCGUCGUGAAGAGGGAAACAACCCAGACCGCCAGCUAAGGUCCCAAAGUCAUGGUUAAGUGGGAAACGAUGUGGGAAGGCACAGACAGCCAGGAUGUUGGCUUAGAAGCAGCCAUCAUUUAAAGAAAGCGUAAUAGCUCACUGGUCGAGUCGGCCUGCGCGGAAGAUGUAACGGGGCUAAACCAUGCACCGAAGCUGCGGCAGCGACACUAUGUGUUGUUGGGUAGGGGAGCGUUCUGUAAGCCUGCGAAGGUGUGCUGUGAGGCAUGCUGGAGGUAUCAGAAGUGCGAAUGCUGACAUAAGUAACGAUAAAGCGGGUGAAAAGCCCGCUCGCCGGAAGACCAAGGGUUCCUGUCCAACGUUAAUCGGGGCAGGGUGAGUCGACCCCUAAGGCGAGGCCGAAAGGCGUAGUCGAUGGGAAACAGGUUAAUAUUCCUGUACUUGGUGUUACUGCGAAGGGGGGACGGAGAAGGCUAUGUUAGCCGGGCGACGGUUGUCCCGGUUUAAGCAUGUAGGCUGAUUGUCCAGGCAAAUCCGGAUAAUCAAGGCUGAGGUGUGAUGACGAGGCACUACGGUGCUGAAGUAACAAAUGCCCUGCUUCCAGGAAAAGCCUCUAAGCAUCAGGUAACAUUAAAUCGUACCCCAAACCGACACAGGUGGUCAGGUAGAGAAUACCAAGGCGCUUGAGAGAACUCGGGUGAAGGAACUAGGCAAAAUGGUGCCGUAACUUCGGGAGAAGGCACGCUGGUGUGUAGGUGAAGUCCCUGCGGAUGGAGCUGAGACCAGUCGAAGAUACCAGCUGGCUGCAACUGUUUAUUAAAAACACAGCACUGUGCAAACACGAAAGUGGACGUAUACGGUGUGACGCCUGCCCGGUGCCGGAAGGUUAAUUGAUGGGGUUAUCCGUAAGGAGAAGCUCUUGAUCGAAGCCCCGGUAAACGGCGGCCGUAACUAUAACGGUCCUAAGGUAGCGAAAUUCCUUGUCGGGUAAGUUCCGACCUGCACGAAUGGCGUAAUGAUGGCCAGGCUGUCUCCACCCGAGACUCAGUGAAAUUGAACUCGCUGUGAAGAUGCAGUGUACCCGCGGCAAGACGGAAAGACCCCGUGAACCUUUACUAUAGCUUGACACUGAACAUUGAGCCUUGAUGUGUAGGAUAGGUGGGAGGCUUUGAAGCGUGGACGCCAGUCUGCGUGGAGCCAACCUUGAAAUACCACCCUUUAAUGUUUGAUGUUCUAACGUUGGCCCCUGACCGGGGUUGCGGACAGUGUCUGGUGGGUAGUUUGACUGGGGCGGUCUCCUCCCAAAGCGUAACGGAGGAGCACGAAGGUUAGCUAAUCCUGGUCGGACAUCAGGAGGUUAGUGCAAUGGCAUAAGCUAGCUUGACUGCGAGCGUGACGGCGCGAGCAGGUGCGAAAGCAGGUCAUAGUGAUCCGGUGGUUCUGAAUGGAAGGGCCAUCGCUCAACGGAUAAAAGGUACUCCGGGGAUAACAGGCUGAUACCGCCCAAGAGUUCAUAUCGACGGCGGUGUUUGGCACCUCGAUGUCGGCUCAUCACAUCCUGGGGCUGAAGUAGGUCCCAAGGGUAUGGCUGUUCGCCAUUUAAAGUGGUACGCGAGCUGGGUUUAGAACGUCGUGAGACAGUUCGGUCCCUAUCUGCCGUGGGCGCUGGAGAAUUGAGGGGGGCUGCUCCUAGUACGAGAGGACCGGAGUGGACGCAUCACUGGUGUUCGGGUUGUCAUGCCAAUGGCACUGCCCGGUAGCUAAAUGCGGAAGAGAUAAGUGCUGAAAGCAUCUAAGCACGAAACUUGCCCCGAGAUGAGUUCUCCCUGAGACUAUAAGUCUCCUGAAGGAACGUUAAAGACGAUGACGUUGAUAGGCCGGGUGUGUAAGCGCAGCGAUGCGUUGAGCUAACCGGUACUAAUGAACCGUGAGGCUUAACCUU
rnacentral:rRNA from 1 species